ACUAUUUUGACAGAAAAAUGUGAUGGUUUUAGAAAUCAUUUAUAUAUAAUUUAAUUAUAUAAAUAGUA
rnacentral:tRNA from 3 species